CCUACGGGCGGCUGCAGUGGGGAAUAUUGGACAAUGGGGGGAACCCUGAUCCAGCCAUGCCGCGUGUGUGAAGAAGGCCCUCGGGUUGUAAAACACUUUCAGUGAGGAAGAACGCCUGGUGGUUAAUACCCAUCAGGAAAGACAUCACUCACAGAAGAAGCACCGGCUAACUCCGUGCCAGCAGCCGCGGUAAUACGGAGGGUGCGAGCGUUAAUCGGAAUUACUGGGCGUAAAGCGCGCGUAGGUGGCUUGAUAAGCCGGUUGUGAAAGCCCCGGGCUCAACCUGGGAACGGCAUCCGGAACUGUCAAGCUAGAGUGCAGGAGAGGAAGGUAGAAUUCCCGGUGUAGCGGUGAAAUGCGUAGAGAUCGGGAGGAAUACCAGUGGCGAAGGCGGCCUUCUGGACUGACACUGACACUGAGGUGCGAAAGCGUGGGUAGCAAACAGGAUUAGAUACCCCAGUAGUC
rnacentral:rRNA from 1 species